rnacentral:tRNA from 1 species
UUCCCUAUGGCCCAAUGGUCAAGGCGUCUGACUACGGAUCAGAAGAUUCCAGGUUCGACUCCUGGUGGGGAAG